rnacentral:rRNA from 1 species
ACAAUGGAGAGUUUGAUCCUGGCUCAGGAUGAACGCUAGCUACAGGCUUAACACAUGCAAGUCGAGGGGAAACGACAUCGAAAGCUUGCUUUUGAUGGGCGUCGACCGGCGCACGGGUGAGUAACGCGUAUCCAACCUGCCCACCACUUGGGGAUAACCUUGCGAAAGUAAGACUAAUACCCAAUGACGUCUCUAGAAGACAUCUGAAAGAGAUUAAAGAUUUA